GACGAACGCUGGCGGCGUGCUUAACACAUGCAAGUCGAACGGAAAGGCCCUGCUUUUGUGGGGUGCUCGAGUGGCGAACGGGUGAGUAACACGUGAGUAACCUGCCCUUGACUUUGGGAUAACUUCAGGAAACUGGGGCUAAUACCGGAUAGGAGCUCCUGCUGCAUGGUGGGGGUUGGAAAGUUUCGGCGGUUGGGGAUGGACUCGCGGCUUAUCAGCUUGUUGGUGGGGUAGUGGCUUACCAAGGCUUUGACGGGUAGCCGGCCUGAGAGGGUGACCGGCCACAUUGGGACUGGGAUACGGCCCAGACUCCUACGGGAGGCAGCAGUGGGGAAUAUUGCACAAUGGGCGGAAGCCUGAUGCAGCAACGCCGCGUGCGGGAGGACGGCCUUCGGGUUGUAAACCGCUUUCGCCUGUGACGAAGCGUGAGUGACGGUAAUGGGUAAAGAAGCACCGGCUAACUACGU
rnacentral:rRNA from 1 species